rnacentral:misc_RNA from 1 species
CUUUUUACUAGAAGCUUUUUAUAACACGCAAAAAACACAUAAUUAAAGAAAAAAGAAAAAAGAAUUUUUGUAAAUUCAACGUUUGACCUGUCCCCUACUCCCUCCUCUAUAUUCAUUCAUUCAUUCGAUUCUUGAUGGAGUUGACAACAUCUUCACCCUUUGCCACAGCACAUAGCCACCACUGCGACCGCCACCAGACCAAGAAGAGGUUUCUGAUGAACCACCCAUUGUAAGAAGGAAAAUCAAGUGGAAGAGAAGACAUGGCCUUAAAGAAAGCUGCCGAGGAUGCUAUUGAGGCUAUUGGUUUGGGAUUUGAUAUAGUUGCUGAUUUAAGCCUUAAGUACUGCAAGAAGAAUUCCUCUCGAUUGAUCUUGUUGGACGAUGAUAAAGUCAGGGAUCUCGUGAUUCCAGGCGGGUUUUCCAUUCGGAACAUCCCCAAAUCCAUCAAAUGCGAUAAAGGCGAGUUCAUGAGGUUCAGCUCUGAUGUUCUUUCUUUCCAGCAGAUGUCAGAGCAGUUUAACCAGGAACUAUCUCUUUCUGGAAAAAUUCCUUCUGGCCAUUUCAAUGCUGCAUUUGAAUUUACAGGAGUUUGGCAGACGGAUGCUGCCAAUACUAAAGCUCUUGCAUUUGAUGGUGUUUUUAUCACACUUUACAACAUUGCAAUAGAAAAAUCCCAGGUAGUUCUGUGUGAUCAUGUCAAAGAAGCUGUCCCUUCAACAUGGGAGCCUGCUGCAUUGGCAAGUUUUAUAGAAAAAUAUGGUACUCAUGUGGUCAUUGGUGUCAAAAUGGGGGGAAGGGAUAUAGUAUAUGUGAAGCAGACAUAUACUGAUCAGCAGCACUUAUCGCCUCUUGAGCCUGUUGAUGUACAGAAAAAAUUAAAAGACAUGGCAGACAAGCUGUUUGUAGAUGGAACUGGACAGAAUAUCUCAGAAAAGUUUGUCAAGGAUCAUGGAUUCACUUUCACAGACCAGUUUCC